CAGCCGUAAACUAUGCGCGUUAGGUGUAUCGGUGACCACGAGUCACCGAGGUGCCGAAGGGAAACCGUGAAACGUGCCGCCUGGGAAGUACGGUCGCAAGGCUGAAACUUAAAGGAAUUGGCGGGGGAGGCACCACAACAGGUGGAGCCUGCGGUUUAAUUGGACUCAACGCCGGGAAGCUCACCGGAUAGGACAGCAGAAUGAUUGCCGGGCUGAAGACUCUGCAUGACUAGCUGAGAGGAGGUGCAUGGGUAGACGUCU
rnacentral:rRNA from 1 species